UCUGCCACGUCAGAAAAUAGAAGCACCAAAAGACGACAUGUGUCACCUUUCCUAAACAUUGCGUUUAAUUUAUAGGUGAUUGUCAUUUUUUGGGCUUCGUUUUGUGGGCUUUAUAUAUUACACAAGCGGCUAUACCCAUAUAGAGAAACCCUUAUCUUCUUCUUCUAUCUCCCACUAUUAAUCUCCGACAUUCAAGAGCUUGAGAUGCUGAAGUCGACGUGAAGAAUCUCUUCGUUGGGUUUCUUUCUGAUUUCGAUACUUUCAUGUGAAGCUUUAGUCGACAAGCCAUAAAAACUCUUUUAGUUCAGGCCCACAUACAAAGUAUGGUUGACUGGGUAUAAAGCAUAACCUCUUUCCCUCAAUUCAGUCCAGUGACCAAUGUAGUCAAUCAAUUCAUCCCACCUUUUUCCUCAUCAAUCAAGAUUUCUCACCUCCCCUCAUCAACCAGAGCUACUGCAUAUAUAUGGUGUCAAGGUGCUCAAGAUAAUUCAUGAAGUUUCUUCAAACAGAGAAAGUCGUUUUAAGGGAAACAGAGGAGUCAGGAGAGAAUUGACGGCGUCGUCUUCAUUUCAUCCGCCUGCGGUGGCAAAACCCAGAUCGUUAAUUACCGUUAAAUCCCUGGUAUGAUCAUCCAAUCGUAAUACUGCUUUCCUAUAUGUUUUUAGGAAUUAUAGAGAUUCAUAUUUCGCAAAAAUAUGUGGAUUAGAGAUAGAGAUUUGAAAGAGUUGGAGUUUCUUAUUUUGAUGAGAUUCAAACUAGCAUGUUAAAAUCCAGAUGAAAGGUGUUUUUUUUAUGGCUGAAGUUACAUGUAGAAUUGAUGUUUUUGAUGAAUAGAAAGAAGAUUACAAAGAAGAUUACAAGCUGAGGCUUAAAGAUUUCAAGUCAUAUGUAUAGAUCAUACUCGCAUUUCACCUUUGAAAACCUUUUGGUUGCUCUCAUCUCAAAGCUGAUGAGUUCUAUAAGGUUCCUUGCUUAACCUAAACUACUUAACAAAUCUGACAUUUUUAUGUUGUACAGAUUGGAUUUUGAACCUGCGCCAGCACCGUGCAUGUGCAUUAGCUUCACCGACAUGCACAUGCUUAAUGUUUUUCGUGGUCAAGGCCGGUAGAUUAAUUCAGGUUUCAAUAAUAUUUAAAACACUGCAUAUAAAUAAACACAUAUUCGAAUAUGAAUGUUCUGCUUAUAAGGGUUUGAUGAUCUUUGGAAUCUAUCAUGGAAUUGAUCGCGACAAUGAUGGUAUGUAUAUGGUUUUAAAGUAGAGUAGCUUCCUUCAAUUUAAAUGAAUCUGAGAAAAAUAUUAUGGGCUAGAUCUUGAAGAUAUAUAAUGGGCAUAUGUCUAUUUUUAUUGUGCAGCUUAGAAGAGAAGUAUUGAAUAUUAUCAUAGAGUCGUAGUUCAUGAGAUUUUGCUGCCACGAAGAAUAUAGAGUUCUCACAUGUAAGACGCCAACGAAAACUAUAACAUCACUGAGGAAGCUAGAGAGCUUGAAAAGCAACUCAGACAACCCACUAAGGAGAAGAAUGAAGCUGUGCGAGGCCAAGAAUUUGAGAAGGCUGAAAGUAUGACCAGAACUAGAACUUAGUGACGAGAUAGCUGUUGUUUUAGUCAAAGGCAAAGAAGUGAGCAAAGCUGAGACUGAAGCUGGAAAAGCAGGACCUACUGUCACUGAAUCCGACAUCCAACACAUCAUGUAAUGUCCCCGAUUCUGGAUAGGAUUGUCCGGACGGACUGCGGUGCGUGGAAAUGCACCAGUAUGGUCAUAUGGCCCAAAGACAAGCGUGUCAUAGCCUGGAAGUAAGGUUAAGGGCAUCAGGAAGCUAAGGCAUAGCUAAUCCAAGAAGGAGACAAGCUCAAAGG